UGUACAAAGUGUAUUUUCAAGAAAUAACAACGAACGUGGAAAACAAGGUUUUACGGAUGAGUUAACAAAACAACCUCGUAAUAUUGGUACUACAAAUGGCAAAGAUAUAUCCUGGAAGGAUCGUAAUAUUGGUACUACAAAUGGCAAAGAUAUAUCCUGGAAGGAUCGUAAUAUUGGUACUACAAAUGGCAAAGAUAUAUCCUGGAAGGAUCGUAAUAUUCCAGAUAUAUCCUGGAAGGAUUACAUGCAAAAGGCCGCGAAUCUAAGAUUUUGUGAUAACUAUGUAGCAAGCUUGGGGAUAGCAACAAGAAUAGUAUCGAAUUCAGUUUUACGUUUCUGGAUAGCAGACGAGUUAUGCGAAAAAAGUAUGCCAGUACAGAUAGUAUGAAGAUAUGGAGUGAUUUUUGAUUAUAUCAUGCCAAUGAUGACGAAAGGGAUUUUUGGAUUCGAUUACGCGAAAUGGUAA